rnacentral:rRNA from 1 species
UACGGAAGGGACUAGCGUUGUUCGGAAUUACUGGGCGUAAAGCGCACGUAGGCGGAUUUGUAAGUCAGGGGUGAAAUCCCGAGGCUCAACCUCGGAACUGCCUUUGAUACUGCAAAUCUCGAGUCCGGAAGAGGUGAGUGGAAUUCCUAGUGUAGAGGUGAAAUUCGUAGAUAUUAGGAAGAACACCAGUGGCGAAGGCGGCUCACUGGUCCGGUACUGACGCUGAGGUGCGAAAGCGUGGGGAGCAAACAGG